rnacentral:rRNA from 1 species
GACGAACGCUGGCGGCGUGCUUAACACAUGCAAGUCGAACGGUGACGGCAGAGCUUGCUCUGCUUGAUCAGUGGCGAACGGGUGAGUAACACGUGAGUAACCUGCCCCUCACUCUGGGAUAACAUCGGGAAACCGGUGCUAAUACUGGAUACGAGAUGCCUCCGCAUGGGGAGUGUCUGGAAAGAUUUAUUGGUGGGGGAUGGACUCGCGGCCUAUCAGCUUGUUGGUGGGGUAAUGGCC